UACGUAGGUGGCAAGCGUUGUCCGGAUUUACUGGGCGUAAAGAGCGCGCAGGCGGUCGUCCAAGUCGCGUGUGAAAGCCCCCGGCUCAACUGGGGAGGGUCACGCGAUACUGGUCGACUCGAAGGCAGGAGAGGGUAGUGGAAUUCCCGGUGUAGUGGUGAAAUGCGUAGAGAUCGGGAGGAACACCGGUGGCGAAGGCGGAUCUCUGGGCCGAUACUGACGCUGAGGAGCGAAAGCGUGGGGAGCGAACAGG
rnacentral:rRNA from 1 species